rnacentral:rRNA from 1 species
AGUGAACGCUGGCGGUAGGCCUAACACAUGCAAGUCGAACGGCAGCACAGUAAGAGCUUGCUCUUACGGGUGGCGAGUGGCGGACGGGUGAGGAAUACAUCGGAAUCUACUUUUUCGUGGGGGAUAACGUAGGGUAACUUACGCUAAUACCGCAUACGACCUACGGGUGAAAGCAGGGGAUCUUCGGACCUUGCGCGAUUGAAUGAGCCGAUGUCGGAUUAGCUAGUUGGCGGGGUAAAGGCCCACCAAGGCGACGAUCCGUAGCUGGUCUGAGAGGAUGAUCAGCCACACUGGAGCUGAGACACGGUCCAGACUCCUACGGGAGGCAGCAGUGGGGAAUAUUGGACAAUGGGCGCAAGCCUGAUCCAGCCAUACCGCGUGGGUGAAGAAGGCCUUCGGGUUGUAAAGCCCUUUUGUUGGGAAAGAAAAGCAGCAGGUUAAUACCCCGCUGUUCUGACGGUACCCAAAGAAUAAGCACCGGCUAACUUCGUG